UAGUCCAAAAGACAGGUGUCUGCCAAGGGAGGCAGGAACCUCCCUUGGAAAGCAGAAUAUGACCCCCUUCCCUCUGAAUUAUUACAACUUUGAAAUUGCAGGGCUUUCAGCCAAAGGUAUGAGAGCAGGAACAGCGGUUCCUUGCCAGCGUGUGUGUGUAUAACACGGCAGACAAACGGCAGCCCCGGCACAGCGAGGAGCAGCCGCAGAGCCCCAGGGCCGCCUUCUCCCGCUGCAGGCGCCUUCCCCUGCCCUGCAGUUCCGGGCGCAGCCAGCAGGGGCGCUGCUGGCUCCCGCCGGGCGGGGCGGGCGAUGAUUCCCCCGCGGCUGCAGGGGGCGCUGUGGCGCGAGCUCGGCCCCCUCUGCACACGGCACUGGCGGGCGGCCGGCGGGAGGGAGGGAGAAGGGGCUUCCUGUGGAGCCCUCAGGGACAGCCGGUGCCGCUGCACCUCCGCACGGCGACACGGACUGCAGCAGAACCUUGGAAGCAGCUGGAACGGCAGAGGCGGGCACACCCAGGGUGACAAAAUGAUUCUCUCUUCAAACCAAACUGCAGCAGGAUUGCUCAUGGAACAAAAUGGAAGAUCCCCAUUCACAGCAACCACAUGGAUCCUGAUGUGAGAAACUCUGCUUACUUUUAAAAUUACAAAGGUUUAUUAAACCUUAACAAAAAUACAGAAGACAGAAUGUUAUAAAUGAAUAAUGUGAUGGUUGGUUCUCACAAUUAAGAGAUGGAUAUUAUGUGUAUGUUAAGAAACGUCUUGUAAAUGUGUAGUGAAAUUACUGUAA